rnacentral:tRNA from 1 species
CGCCCGAGCAGGGGCACGAACCCUGGACCGUUAGGUUGAAGCCUAACGCUCUACCGACUGAGCUAGCAAGGC